GAAAAUUUGCUCUUUUAGAAUUUGUCCAGCAGGUUUCUUCUGAAGAAGAAGCCCCC
ensembl:snRNA U7 U7 small nuclear RNA